rnacentral:rRNA from 1 species
UACGGAGGAUGCAAGCGUUAUCCGGAAUGAUUGGGCGUAAAGCGUACGCAGGUGGUUGUGUGUGUCUAUUGUCAAAGCAUCAUGCUUAACAUGAUAAAGGCAGUAGAAACUACACGACUAGAGUGCGUUCGGGGCAGAGGGAAUUCCUGGUGUAGCGGUGAAAUGCGUAGAGAUCAGGAAGAACACCGGUGGCGAAAGCGCUCUGCUAGGCCGCAAUUGACAAUGAGGGACGAAAGCUAGGGGAGCGAAUGGG